UCCUUUCAAUUGCUGAAUAAUCUCAUGUAGAACAUCAUCUCCCAAAGUCAAAAUCGUAUCAAGAUUGGCGCACAAACAUGUGUGUGUGUGUGUGUAUCUCUAUAUAUAUAGGAGAUGCUAAAUCAACAUCGCGAUUGAGCCGCACUCUCUGUGCAGUCUUCUCCAUGAUUGCAAAUUGCAGCAGAAAACCAGCUUACUUACAGCAAUGAGAGGUGCUCAUCAUCUUCAGGCAAUUCUGAUCCUCUCCAUCUUGUUGCUGCCAAUGUUUCUCUUCGGAUCUGUCUCAGCUAAUUCAGUGAUUGAUAGCAAGCCGGAUGGGGCAGUGAUCAUUAGCUUGGAGAAGCGAGGAGGCCGUCGGUUAGUUCUUGGAAGAUCAGCAUCAAGAUCUCUUUCGGCAAACUACGAUCCUAGGCACGAUCCUCCCGUCACUCCCUGACUCUGCAAGAAGAUUUGGCGCCAAAACAUGAAAUGGAUGAAGGAUUAAUCUUAGAUAGGGACUCGUUUUUGUUUUGUUCUAUUGAAGAUGUGAGGAUUCUUUUCUCUUUUUUUUCCUUUGCAAAAUUUUAACUGAUCUGAUGUGCUUCGGCUAUAUUUGUACUCUCGCUGGCUGGAAAUAGACAACCAAUACGAUUAAUCACGUUAAUUGUAACGCUGAACAAACUGCUUAAGGAUCCGAAUCACAUUUUUACUCUACUUGACUGUUUUUGGUAACAAUACCGAUACUAUGAAUCACAUUUUUAUUCUAGCUACUUAAUUAGGAUCCCAUUGAAAUGGAGAAUUGACAGAGGAAUUUUGGAGGAUUCAUUUUUCUUUGAAUUUUUUAUAUAGAGCCCUUUGAUUCAUGGAAGAGUAUAGGAAAAUUGCCAUAGGCAUUCCUAUGAUCAAUUCCAUAGGAAAUAAGUAAGAUGUAGACUUUUUGUGAAACUUUCGUUUGGUUAAAUUUUUCAUGUGGUGCAAUCAAAACGACCUCUUCCUAUUUUCUAUGUUCUCAUUUCUUAUAAGAUUGAAAAAACAUACAAUUUUAAUUCCUAUAUUUUUCCUAUUCUAUAUUUCAAAGAGGGCUUUACUAUUUUCAACGCUAUACCUAUGUAUAGCAUGCACUCAUAACUACUACAAUUUGUUAGUUAGUUUCAUUGCCAGUAUUAUCAUU